GAUGAACGCUGGCGGCGUGCCUAAUACAUGCAAGUCGAGCGAAUGGAUUAAGAGCUUGCUCUUAUGAAGUUAGCGGCGGACGGGUGAGUAACACGUGGGUAACCUGCCCAUAAGACUGGGAUAACUCCGGGAAACCGGGGCUAAUACCGGAUAAUAUUUUGAACUGCAUGGUUCAAAAUUGAAAGGCGGCUUCGGCUGUCACUUAUGGAUGGACCCGCGUCGCAUUAGCUAGUUGGUGAGGUAACGGCUCACAAAGGCAACGAUGCGUAGCCGACUUGAGAGGGUGAUCGGCCACCCUGGGACUGAGACACGGCCCAGACUCCUACGGGAGGCAGCAGUAGGGAAUCUUCCGCAAUGGACGAAAGUCUGACGGAGCAACGCCGCGUGAGUGAUGAAGGCUUUCGGGUCGUAAAACUCUGUUGUUAGGGAAGAACAAGUGCUAGUUGAAUAAGCUGGCACCUUGACGGUACCUAACCAGAAAGCCACGGCUAACUACGUGCCAGCAGCCGCCGUAA
rnacentral:rRNA from 1 species